rnacentral:rRNA from 1 species
AGUGGCGGACGGGUGAGUAACGCGUGAGAAUCUGCCUUGGGGUCGGGGACAACCACUGGAAACGGUGGCUAAUACCGGAUAAGCCUUUGGGUAAAAGAUUUAUUGCCCCAAGAGGAGCUCGCGUCUGAUUAGCUAGUUGGUGAGGUAAGAGCUCACCAAGGCAGCGAUCAGUAGCUGGUCUGAGAGGACGAUCAGCCACACUGGGACUGAGACACGGCCCAGACUCCUACGGGAGGCAGCAGUGGGGAAUUUUCCGCAAUGGGCGAAAGCCUGACGGAGCAAGACCGCGUGAGGGAGGAAGGCUCUUGGGUUGUAAACCUCUUUUCUCAGGGAAGAAGCUCUGACGGUACCUGAGGAAUCAGCCUCGGCUAACUCCGUGCCAGCAGCCGCGGUAAUACGGAGGAGGCAAGCGUUAUCCGGAAUUAUUGGGCGUAAAGCGUCCGCAGGUGGCGAUUCAAGUCUGCUGUCAAAGCACGGGGCUUAACUCCGUUAAGGCAGUGGAAACUGAAUAGCUAGAGUGCCGUAGGGGUAGAGGGAAUUCCCGGUGUAGCGGUGAAAUGCGUAGAGAUCGGGAAGAACAUCGGUGGCGAAAGCGCUCUACUGGACGGCAACUGACACUCAGGGACGAAAGCUAGGGGAGCGAAUGGGAUUAGAUACCCCAGUAGUCCUAGCUGUAAACGAUGGAUACUAGGUGUAGCUUGUAUCGACCCGAGCUGUGCCGAAGCUAACGCGUUAAGUAUCCCGCCUGGGGAGUACGCACGCAAGUGUGAAACUCAAAGGAAUUGACGGGGGCCCGCACAAGCGGUGGAGUAUGUGGUUUAAUUCGAUGCAACGCGAAGAACCUUACCAGGGCUUGACAUGUCCGGAAUCCCGGUGAAAGCUGGGAGCCUUCGGGA